ensembl:lncRNA
GUUGGACAGGGCCUGGAGCAACCUGGUCUAGUGGAAGGUGUUCCUGCCCAUGGCAGGGGUUUGGAACUGGGUGAGUUUUAAGGUCCCUUCCAGCCCAACCUGUCUGGGAUUCUAUGAUUCUAUACCUGAGUAUUUUGCAUUGAAACACCAAAGCUUGUUUGCAGGUGCAUUUCAGCAGCCUGCUUCCUUCUUUUAUUUACUUGUAUGUUAUUUUUAUGUCUUGAUGCAAUUCUGCUUUAUGUGUAUGGGAUGGACGCAGUCAGAUUUGGAAAGAAAUUUUGGUGCCAUCACAUGGAUGUGCUACUGGAAGCUGGGUGCCCGCACGUCUGAACCAGUCUCCAUCCGUUUUUCCCAGUUCUGCAUGGGCUGCCUGCAAGACAACAGCAUCUUUAGGUCUAGUGCAACGGUCAGAUAAGACUUGUGUGGGUCUCUGGAUACUUAUCCUAGUGAGAGGGGAACUAAAUAUUGUACCAGUGGCUUGAUCUGCCCUGUCCUGGCUGCCCAAAGUUGUGAGUCAGCCACCAUCCUAUGUGUGAUGCUCUCUAGUGAUAGAGCAAUAAGACAAUUUCAGACAAAAAUAAGGCUGCAAACUAUCACCUGGGCCAUGGAAAUGAUCAAGGAAGUCCAAACUUAAGUAUGAACUCAAGACAAAAUGGGACAGUUUCAGUGUGGCACAGAAUAUCGACAGUGCACUAUCCAUGCACUCAAAAAAGAGUUUAUUCUGGUCUCUUUGGAUAGAUACAGGUAGUUUUAGUAAAACUACCUGUUUUUCAGAUGGUAAAACUGUACCAAGCCCUGUACAGAAAAUAUCUGAGCUAAACAGAUGGUGCUUAGUCCUGCAAAAUUAUCUUACAAAUGGCUUGUGCUCUAAGCUGAUUUUAUGCAUAGCAAAUACAUUUCUAAACGAGAUUUCCUGCAUGAACCUCCACUAACAGCAAUACCUAUUACAUAAUGCCUUAAAACGGUAUACCUACUUGGAGGUAAUAAGCCUCACAAUCAGUCACUAUGGCAAAGAGUAAAUUGUCUUUUAUUCCCUUUUCAGAGGCAUAAAGGAAUACACAGAAGAAAAGAGUUUACUUCAGUUCAAGUGCAAGAUAUUAUCUUCUACUGGGGCUAAAAAUAAGAGGUUUUUCCAGUGUUGAUCUUGUUUACGGUGCUUCAUAUUGCUACUUCACUUGUCUUUUUAGUUCAAUAUAUAUGAAUUCAUUAAGACAAGAAUGUUAAUCAGCAAAAUAUCCAAAACAUUUUUGCAUUACUAUUUCUGUGUCAUUCUACCUGUAAAUAUAUUAUCCAUCUUCUCUUGAUUGAUGAGUUCCCAUCUGCAUGAGUGUAUGGCACAUGGAAUUGAAGAGAGAAGGUUUUGUCAUUUCAAGUUGUACUUAAAGUAGAAAAAUGAACAUGCUUUACAGGAAAUGUCUUUUUCUAAAAGACUUAAUAAUUCUGUGUUUCAGAGCAGCACAUAUGGCUAGUGACCUCUCUUCCCAAGGAGAAUGGCUGAGAUGUCUGUUUGGAAUUAUUCCUGGAAUUAGACCAGCAUGAAGUCUCCUUUACCAAUCUCAGAUCCACUGAAAUCAGUGAAUAAAGCUGGACGAAUCACCCUUAAACAUCAAAAUACACUUGGUGGAAUAGAAGAGCACCCAGAAAGUAAUAACACACUUAUGGGAUCCAGCCUCUUUGUUUCAAGAUGUGGAGGCAAGCAGGAACCCUUGGAAUUGAAGGCUGUCUGCCCAUGUUGAGCCUGAUCUAUCAAAUUCAGUAUUUUAUAAUAUCACCUCAUUAAGAUCCAUAUAUGCUCAGACAUACAGCAGAUAAUUCACUUGUUAUAAAUAAACAGGUACUUCUUAAUUGUUACCUACCACUAGUGUGUUUGCUUAAACUGUUAUCAAAAGAAAACCUGAAUAUAUUAUUAAAGGACAAGAUUUUUGGAG